UGUUCUAACGUUGACCCGUAAUCCGGGUUGCGGACAGUGUCUGGUGGGUAGUUUGACUGGGGCGGUCUCCUCCCAAAGAGUAACGGAGGAGUACGAAGGUGCGCUCAGACCGGUCGGAAAUCGGUCGUAGAGUAUAAAGGCAAAAGCGCGCUUAACUGCGAGACCCACAAGUCGAGCAGGUACGAAAGUAGGGCAUAGUGAC
rnacentral:rRNA from 14 species